GUCCACGCCGUAAACGAUGAGUACUAGGUGUUGCGGGUAUUGACCCCUGCAGUGCCGCAGCUAACGCAUUAAGUACUCCGCCUGGGAAGUACGGUCGCAAGACUAAACUCAAAGGAAUUGACGGGGCCCGCACAAGCGGUGGAGCAUGUGGUUUAAUUCGACGCAACGCGCAGAACCUUACCUGGGCUUGACAUCUGCGGAACCUUGUGGAAACACAGGGGUGCCUUCGGGAGCCGCAAGACAGGUGCUGCAUGGCUGUCGU
rnacentral:rRNA from 1 species